UGAGUUGGGAUCAUUUGAGCAGGGGGGAGAUGCUGGGAUUCGGGUAAGGAAGCAAGGCUGGAUUUUUAGGACUCGGCUCUAUCUUGGUUUCGGGCUAAAGAAAGGGACUUAGAUUGGUUGAAGCUAACACAGGGGAGGAUGACAUGGACACUGCAUGCAUUAGACUCGACCAAUAAAAAGAAAAUCAAUCAAACUUGAAUAAUUUAUUUAAAAUGAAAUGAGGAAGAAAAUACAUUUUUUUAGUUAAAUUUAUAAAAUAUGUGAAUUAAAAUAAUGAUAAGUGCUAUGAAUAAGAUAUUAAUUUGUACAUUAUUUAGCACUUAUCAAUAGGGCCUUCACUUCUGGACCAUUGGAUCGCUUCCUGGAUGAAGGAUCUGGUCCACUAGUUGGCGCCUUCAUCUGGACCAUUGGAUGGCUUUCUGGAUGAAGGAUCUGGUCCACUGGUUAGCGCCUGAAUCUGGACCACUGGAUGGCUCUCUGGAUGAAAGAUCUGGAACGUUGCUCAGCGCCUGAAUCUGGACCAUCGGUGAUGGCAUCUUGCUUCUAGACCAUUGGAUGGCACCCUGGAUGAUGAUGCCCUGAUCUGGACCAUUAGAUGGCGCCUAGAUCUGGACCAUUGGCUUUGGUUCACUGCAUUUGGGCCCUUUGAUCAUCAGGAUUUAAGAGGAAGAUGUGAGAAAGAAGUUGAUACACCCUUCUCCUUAGCACCCCAUCAUGAUGGGAUGCAUCUCUUGGCACAUGCCUCAUCAUGAUGAGGUGUGUGGAUGGGAUGCAUCCCUUUAUGAUGCAUCCCUCCGUCUCUUAUAAAUAAGGAGGUGUCUUGGGGUUCUAAAGAUCAUCCAAGAAAAAGCCUCUCCUUCUCUCUCCCUUAUCCCUUCUUUCUUACAAGCCUCUCUCUUUUGUCCUAACCCAAGACAAGAGGGUCUUCUUUAGGACA
rnacentral:lncRNA from 1 species